GAUCCUGGCUCAGGAUGAACGCUAGCUACAGGCUUAACACAUGCAAGUCGAGGGGCAGCAUGAACUUAGCUUGCUUUUUCUAGGCGUCGACCGGCGCACGGGUGAGUAACACGUAUCCAACCUGCCGUCUACUCUUGGACAGCCUUCUGAAAGGAAGAUUAAUACAAGAUGGCAUCAUGAGUCCGCAUGUUCACAUGAUUAAAGGUAUUCCGGUAGACGAUGGGGAUGCGUUCCAUUAGCUUGUUGGCGGGGUAACGGCCCACCAAACCGACGAUGGAUAGGGGUUCUGAGAGGAAGGUCCCCCACAUUGGUACUGAGACACGGACCAAACUCCUACGGGAGGCAGCAGUGAGGAAUAUUGGUCAAUGGCCGAGAGGCUGAACCAGCCAAGUCGCGUGAAGGAAGAAGGAUCUAUGGUUUGUAAACUUCUUUUAUAGGGGAAUAAAGUGGAGGACGUGUCCUUUUUUGUAUGUACCCUAUGAAUAAGCAUCGGCUAACUCCGUG
rnacentral:rRNA from 1 species